rnacentral:rRNA from 1 species
AUCAUGAGUUCACAUGUCCGCAUGAUUAAAGGUAUUUUCCGGUAGACGAUGGGGAUGCGUUCCAUUAGAUAGUAGGCGGGGUAACGGCCCACCUAGUCAACGAUGGAUAGGGGUUCUGAGAGGAAGGUCCCCCACAUUGGAACUGAGACACGGUCCAAACUCCUACGGGAGGCAGCAGUGAGGAAUAUUGGUCAAUGGGCGAUGGCCUGAACCAGCCAAGUAGCGUGAAGGAUGACUGCCCUAUGGGUUGUAAACUUCUUUUAUAAAGGAAUAAAGUCGGGUAUGCAUACCCGUUUGCAUGUACUUUAUGAAUAAGGAUCGGCUAACUCCGUGCCAGCAGCCGCGGUAAUACGGAGGAUCCGAGCGUUAUCUGGAUUUAUUGGGUUUAAAGGGAGCGUAGAUGGAUGUUUAAGUCAGUUGUGAAAGUUUGCGGCUCAACCGUAAAAUUGCAGUUGAUACUGGAUGUCUUGAGUGCAGUUGAGGCAGGCGGAAUUCGUGGUGUAGCGGUGAAAUGCUUAGAUAUCACGAAGAACUCCGAUUG